rnacentral:rRNA from 1 species
CCUACGGGUGGCAGCAGUGAGGAAUAUUGGUCAAUGGACGAGAGUCUGAACCAGCCAAGCCGCGUGAAGGAUGACUGCUCUAUGGGUUGUAAACUUCUUUUAUAUAGGAGUAAAAUGUUCUACGUGUCGGAUGCUGAAUGUACUAUAUGAAUAAGGAUCGGCUAACUCCGUGCCAGCAGCCGCGGUAAUACGGAGGCUCCGAGCGUUAUCCGGAUUUAUUGGGUUUAAAGGGUGCGUAGGUGGAUUGUUAAGUUAGUUGUGAAAGUUUGGAGCUCAACUGUAAAAUUGCAGUUGAUACUGGUAGUCUUGAGUGCAGAAGAGGUAGGCGGAAUUCGUGGUGUAGCGGUGAAAUGCUUAGAGAUCACGAAGAACUCCGAUUGCGAAGGCAGCUCACUGGACUACAACUGACGCUGAGGCACGAAAGUGUGGGUAGCAAACAGGAUUAGAUACCCCAGUAGUC